GGGUGGUAAUGCCGGAUGUUCCACAUGAUCGCAUGUGAUUGUGGGAAAGAUUUCAUCGGCGUGGGAUGGGGUCGCGUCCUAUCAGCUUGUUGGUGAGGUAACGGCUCACCAAGGCUUCGACGGGUAGCCGGCCUGAGAGGGCGACCGGCCACAUUGGGACUGAGAUACGGCCCAGACUCCUACGGGAGGCAGCAGUGGGGAAUAUUGCACAAUGGGCGCAAGCCUGAUGCAGCGACGCCGCGUGAGGGAUGGAGGCCUUCGGGUUGUAAACCUCUUUUGUUUGGGAGCAAGCCUUCGGGUGAGUGUACCUUUCGAAUAAGCGCCGGCUAACUACGUGCCAGCAGCCGCGGUAAUACGUAGGGCGCAAGCGUUAUCCGGAUUUAUUGGGCGUAAAGGGCUCGUAGGCGGCUCGUCGCGUCCGGUGUGAAAGUCCAUCGCUUAACGGUGGAUCUGCGCCGGGUACGGGCGGGCUGGAGUGCGGUAGGGGAGACUGGAAUUCCCGGUGUAACGGUGGAAUGUGUAGAUAUCGGGAAAGAACACCA
rnacentral:rRNA from 1 species